rnacentral:rRNA from 1 species
GAUGAACGCUGGCGGCAGGCCUAACACAUGCAAGUCGAACGAGUGGCGGACGGGUGCGUAAUGUAUCUGAAAAUGCCCGGUGGCGGGGGAUAACUACUGGAAACGGUAACUAAUCCCGCAUACCAUUGUAUGUGCCAAUAUCGGCUUAGCUAGUUGGUGGGGGAAAGGCUCACCUAGGCGACGAUCCCUAGCUGGUUUGAGAGGAUGACCAGCCAAACUGGAACUGAGACACGGUCCAGACUCCUACGGGAGGCAGCAGUGGGGAAUAUGGCACAAUGGGCGCAAGCCGGAUGCAGCCAUGCCGCGUGUAUGAAGAAGGCCUUCGGGUUGGAAAGUACUUUAAGCGGGGAGGCGUUACUCGCAGAAGAAGCACCGGCUAACUCCGUGCCAGCAGCCGAGGUAAUUC